AAACUUUUUUCAAUUAAGUGUUUAAGAAAAAAGUAAUUUUUUUUCAAGAUUUGUUUUGCUUCUUUUAGGCACAGAUUCACUUAAAUUUUAUAUUUUUGUCUAAAAACUAGGCUUAUUUUCUUAGGUCAUUGUGCGCAUCAAGAAUAAAAAUCUUGAUUUAAGUUAAUUUUAAUAUAUUUGUUCUGAUAGCAAGACAAAAAUACUAAGUAAGAAAGUCAUUUUUUUCUAGUGUACGUCUCACUGUCGACACAGAGAUUUAAUUUUGAUGUUAUUUAUAAUGAAAGAAUCGAUGUUCACACUGGAUGACUAGAAUCAUAUCGUAAUGUAUCAUAAGAGCGAGUUUUAUUUUAGCUUGUUGUGUAGUUGUGAAAUAUUUCAGUGUGUUUUUGUCUGUUUGUGUGUGUUGUGGGUUAGUAAGAUCGUAUAGGUACUGAAAUAUCUGCAGUAACAAACACAAACUCUGCACGGCAUCAUUUACUGUUAGUAAUGUACAUAAACAAAACUCUCAAUCUGAGAUUUUACCGCAGUAUUUGAUGUUUAUAAAGCGCUGUAAAAUAAUAAAUCUCACAAAGAAAUUAGGUACCAAUAGAAAUAAUAUUAUAGUUAAAGGAAAUGAAGCCGACGGUUAAGAUGAAUGAAUCUGAUUGUAGUUACUGUAAUACAUUAAUAGUCUGGACGUAAUGGUUCUUUAAACGUGUUAGUCAUAAAAUAGAAUCUAAUUUAAUUUAAAGCUGUAAAUAAUACCGGGAUUAAAAGUUUCAGAUGUACUUUACCAGCUGUACAAUUCAUCUUUUUAUCUGAGUUAUAGUAAUGAAAAUGAGAUUUAUUUCUAUGAGUUUUGGUGUUCGGUUGGACUCAAGAUUUAUUUUCUGUUUCUCCUGCUGAACAUCUCUACAGACUUCAACAUUAACACACCUGCAACGUCAGGUCUGUCCACAGAAAUCCUUCUGUCCAAGAUUAUUGCCAUCAUUCACAUCAAACCUCAUACAGAAACUAAGAGAGAAAGAGAGAGAGAGAGAGAUUCAGUUCGAGUCUUUGAAGUUAUAAUCCUCUCAAAACACAAACUUCUCUCAUCAUUUAUACACAUUUAUGAUUUUUCUUCUGUCUGAAAUGAUAUUUAGUGAUGAGUUCAGAUGAGUUACAUGAGAAAUCUGAUGAUGAUGAUGAUGUUUUUAUGAUGAUUGUUAUGUUACUGUAGAUGAAAUGAAUCUGAGGACAUAAAGGUUUGUGCGUGCAUGUGCAAGGUUGUGUGUGCGCGAGGUUGUGUGCGUGUGCGUCGUUGUGUGGGUCUACCAGGUUGUGUGCGUGUGCCAGGUUCUGUGCGUGUGCAAGGUUGUGUGUGUGCGAGAUUGUGUGUGUGCCAGGUUCUGUGCGUGUGCAAGGUUGUGUGCGUGUGCCAGGUUCUGUGCGUGUGCAAGGUUGUGUGUGUGCGAGAUUGUGUGUGUGCCAGGUUCUGUGCGUGUGCAAGGUUGUGUGUGUGCGAGGUUGUGCGUGUGUGCCAGGUUCUGUGCGUGUGCGAGGUUGUGUGCGUGUGCAUGGUUGUGUGUGUCUACCAGGUUCUGUGCAUGUGUGAGGUUGUGUGCGUGUGCAGGGUUGUGUGUGUGCGAGGUUGUGUUUGUGAGGUUCUGUGUGCGUUCGCGAGGUUGUGUGCAAGGUUGUGUGUGUGAGUUUGUGUGCGAGGUUGUGUGCGAGGUUGUGUGCAUCUGUGAGGGUGUGUGAGGUUGUGUGCGUGUGCAAGGUUGUGCGAGCAAGGUUCUGUGUGUGUGCGAGGUUGUGUGCGUGUGAGGAUGUGUGUGUGCGAGGUUGUGUGUGUGUGUGUGAUUGUGUGUGUGUGAUUCCAAUGAUGUGGCUUUUAUGUGUCCUAGUAUAGACUGAUGAAAAAGUCCUUGAACGUUCCAUGAACUGACAGAAAAUUUGAAUCAUAAGUGAUUGAUUUUUUCCUGCAUAUAUUAAUGACUUAAUCUCUCUCUCUCUCUCCUCUAUGUUGUAAAAUAUUCACACUUUCAUGGUGCUUCAGUCUGUUGUGCAGAAUUUCAGCGUGGCUCGUUGUGUAUGUGGAUAUAAAUACGAAUGCUUUAUCUAUCGUCUAGAUGUGGUGAACAUUAAGACCAUCAGACCCACAGAUGUGUGUAUAUGUAGAUCACUGAAUAUAUCACGCUGUGCUUUAUUGCUGUUGAUGAAUAAAUAUUGUUGUGUAAUUGUGUUGAAUAAAGAUUUACCAUGAGAA